UACGUAGGGGGCGAGCGUUGUCCGGAUUUACUGGGCGUAAAGCGUCCGUAGGCGGCCCACCCAGUCUGGUGUGAAAGCUCCCGGCUCAACCGGGAGAGGUCAUCGGAUACUAGUGGGCUUGAGGGGAGCAGAGGCAGACGGAAUUCCCGGGAGUAGUGGUGAUAUGCGUAGAGACCGGGAGGAACACCGGUGGCGAAGGCGGUCUGCUGGGCUCGCCCUGACGCUGAGGGACGAAAGCGUGGGGAGCAAACAGG
rnacentral:rRNA from 1 species